rnacentral:lncRNA from 1 species
CCACAAUCAGCGUCCUGCAGCUGCUCAUAGGCAUCCUGGAACAACUCCACUCCACAGAGGAAACUAAGGAGAUGGCCUUCCAGCCUGUGGCGGUGACAUGUGCUCUGUGUGAGAUGCUGUCAGUGUCCCUGUGCCAGGAGGCUAUCCAGGAGUUCUAUCCCCAGCUCUUACUGGCUAUACUAUGUCAUCUCUACUGGGUGAUUGAGCAAAAUGUCCCCCAGAAGAUGGUGGUCUAUAGCAAGGAGAGGGGCCCAGGCAGCAAGAGCAAGCCCUUUGACCCCAC